AGGAUUAUGAAAGUGGAUCUGAAUUUUCCUCCCAACCCAAUAGUCUCUGAUGCAGCCAAGGACCUUAUUUCUAAGCUGUUGGUUAAAUAUUCUUGGCAGCGUCUUCCCUUAACAGGCCUUCUUCAACAUCCAUGGAUAGUCCAAAAUGCUGACCUUUCUAGUGUUUAUGAACGUGCAUAGUGAGAAAGCUCCAAGUCCUCAAACAUCCAAUGAUAACUUGUUCUCCUCAAUUGGGUUGCGAACAUCAGAGAACUUGAGUUAUAUGAUUAUUCAUAUUACAUUGAUGUAAAAUAUAAAAUACAGCUGGAAAAGGAUGGUUGCAUUGAGUGUCAUAUGUUACUGAAUUCAUAUUUAGUAAGCUUUUGAGGUUAUAUGUUUUUCUCCAGAACGGAACUCUUAAAUUUUGUCAUAAACACCAUGUUCAUAAUGCAUCUCGUUUAUCUGCUUUACUCGCAUCAA